GCAUAUCAAUAAGCGGAGGAAAAAGAAACCAACAGGGAUUGCCCUAGUAACGGCGAGUGAAGCGGCAACAGCUCAAAUUUGAAAUCUGGCUUUCGGGCCCGAGUUGUAAUUUGUAGAGGAUGAUUUUGAUGCGGUGCCUUCCGAGUUCCCUGGAACGGGACGCCAUAGAGGGUGAGAGCCCCGUCUGGUUGGAUGCCAAAUCUCUGUAAAUCUCCUUCGACGAGUCGAGUAGUUUGGGAAUGCUGCUCUAAAUGGGAGGUAUAUGUCUUCUAAAGCUAAAUACCGGCCAGAGACCGAUAGCGCACAAGUAGAGUGAUCGAAAGAUGAAAAGCACUUUGAAAAGAGAGUUAAAAAGUACGUGAAAUUGUUGAAAGGGAAGCGUUUAUGACCAGACUUGGGCUUGGUUAAUCAUCUGGGGUUCUCUCCAGUGCACUUUUCCAGUCCAGGCCAGCAUCAGUUUUCGCCGGGGGAUAAAGGCUUCGGGAAUGUGGCUCCCCUCGGGGAGUGUUAUAGCCCGUUGUGUAAUACCCUGGUGGGGACUGAGGUUCGCGCUUCUGCAAGGAUGCUGGCGUAAUGGUCAUCAACGACCCGUCUUGAAACACGGACCAAGGAGUCGUCUUCGUAUGCGAGUGUUCGGGUGUCAAACCCCUACGCGUAAUGAAAGUGAACGCAGGUGAGAGCUUCGGCGCAUCAUCGACCGAUCCUGAUGUUCUCGGAUGGAUUUGAGUAAGAGCAUACGGGGCCGGACCCGAAAGAAGGUGAACUAUGCCUGUGUAGGGUGAAGCCAGAGGAAACUCUGGUGGAGGCUCGCAGCGGUUCUGACGUGCAAAUCGAUCGUCAAACAUGGGCAUGGGGGCGAAAGACUAAUCGAACCUUCUAGUAGCUGGUUUCCGCCGA
rnacentral:rRNA from 1 species